GGCAGCAGUGGGGAAUCUUGCACAAUGGAGGAAACUCUGAUGCAGCGAUGCCGCGUGAGUGAAGAAGGCCCUUGGGUUGUAAAGCUCUUUCGUCGGGGAAGAAAAUGACUGUACCCGAAUAAGAAGGUCCGGCUAACUUCGUGCCAGCAGCCGCGGUAAUACGAAGGGACCUAGCGUAGUUCGGAAUUACUGGGCUUAAAGAGUUCGUAGGUGGUUGAAAAAGUUAGUGGUGAAAUCCCAGAGCUUAACUCUGGAACUGCCAUUAAAACUUUUCAGCUAGAGUAUGAUAGAGGAAAGCAGAAUUUCUAGUGUAGAGGUGAAAUUCGUAGAUAUUAGAAAGAAUACCAAUUGCGAAGGCAGCUUUCUGGAUCAUUACUGACACUGAGGAACGAAAGCAUGGGUAGCGAAGAGGAUUAGAUACCCUCGUAGUCCAUGCCGUAAACGAUGUGUGUUAGACGUUGGAAAUUUAUUUUCAGUGUCGCAGGGAAACCGAUAAACACACCGCCUGGGGAGUACGACCGCAAGGUUAAAACUCAAAUGAAUUGACGG
rnacentral:rRNA from 1 species